CCGAGGAUGGCGGUCAUGGCGCCCCGAACCCUCCUCCUGCUACUCUCGGGUGCCCCGGCCCUGACCCAGACCUGGGCGGGCUCCCACUCCAUGAGGUAUUUCAGCACCUCCGUGUCCCGGCCGGGCCGCGGGGAGCCCCGGUACCUCGAAGUCGGCUACGUGGACGACACGCAGUUCAGGAUGUAUGGCUGCGAAGUGGGGUCCCACGGGCGCUUCCUCCGCGGGUACCGGCAGGACGCCUACGACGGCAAGGAUUACAUCGCCCUAAACGAGGACCUGCGCUCUUGGACCGCGGCGGACAUUGCAGCUCAGAUCAUCAAGCGCAAGUGGGAGGCGGCCGGUGUGGGGGAGCAGGAGAGAGCCUACCUGGAGGGCACGUGCGUGGAGUGGCUCCGCAGACACCUGAAGAACGGGAAGGAGACGCUGCAGCGCACGGACCCCCCCAAGACACAUAUGACCCACCACCCCAUCUCUGACCAUGAGGCCACCCUGAGGUGCUGGGCCCUGGGCUUCUACCCUGCGGAGAUCACACUGACCUGGCAGCGGGAUGGGGAGGACCAGACCCAGGACACGGAGCUCGUGGAGACCAGGCCUGCAGGGGAUGGAACCUUCCAGAAGUGGGUGGCUGUGGUGGUGCCUUCUGGAAAGGAGCAGAGAUACACCUGCCAUGUGCAGCAUGAGGGUCUGCCUGAGCCCCUCACCCUGAGAUGGGAGCCGUCUUCCCAGCCCACCAUCCCCAUCGUGGUCAUCAUUGCUGGCCUGGUUCUCCUUGGAGCUGUGAUCACUGGAGCUGUGGUCGCUGCUGUGAUGUGGAGGAGGAAGAGCUCAGGUGGGGAAGGGGUGAAGGGUGGGGUCUGAGAUUUCUUGUCUCACUGAGGGUUCCAAGCCCCAGGUAGAAAUGUGCCCUGUCUAAUUACUGGGAAGCACCAUCCACACUCAUGGGCCUACCCAGCCUGGGCCCUGUGUGCCAGCACUUACUCUUUUGUAAAGCACCUGUUAAAAUGAAGGACAGAUUUAUCACCUUGAUGACUGUGGUGAUGGAGCCUGAUCCCAGCAGUCACAAGUCACAGGGGAAGGUCCCUCAGGACAGACCUCAGGAGGAUGGUUCGUCCAGGACCCACACUUGCUUUCUUCAUGUUUCCUGAUCCCGCCCUGGGUCUGCAGUCACACAUUUCUGGAAACUUCUCUGGGUUCCAAGACUAGGAGGUUCCUCUAGGACCUUAAGGCCCUGACUCCUUCCUGGUAUCUCACAGGACAUUUUCUUCCCACAGAUAGAAAAGGAGGGAGAUACUCUCAGGCUGCAAGCAGUGACAGUGCCCAGGGCUCUGAUGUGUCUCUCACAGCUUGUAAAGUGUGAGACAGCUGCCUUGUGUGGGACUGAGAGGUAAGAGUUGUUCCUGCCCUUCCCUUUGUGACUUGAAGAACCUGACUUUCUUUCUGCAAAGGCACCUGCAUGUGUCUGUGUUCCUGUAGGCAUAGUGUGAGGAGGUGGGGAGGCCACCCCACCCCCAUGUCCACCAUAACCCUCUUCCCACGCUGACCUGUGCUCCCUCCCCAAUCAUCUUUCCUGUUCCAGAGAGGUGAGGCUGGGAUGUCUCCAUCUCUGUCUCAGCUUCAUGGUGUGCUGAGCUGUAACUUCUUCCUUCGCUAUUAAAAUUAGAACCUGAGUAAAAAUUUAAUUUCUCAAAUUCUUGCCAUGAGAGCUUGAUGAGUUAAUUAAGGGAGAAGAUUCCUAAAAUUUGAGAGACAAAAUAAAUGGAAGACAUGAGAACCUUCCAGAGUCCA
rnacentral:sRNA from 1 species